rnacentral:rRNA from 1 species
AGAUUGAACGCUGGCGGCAGGCCUAACACAUGCAAGUCGAGCGGCAGCACGGGUACUUGUACCUGGUGGCGAGCGGCGGACGGGUGAGUAAUGCCUAGGAAUCUGCCUGGUAGUGGGGGAUAACGCUCGGAAACGGACGCUAAUACCGCAUACGUCCUACGGGAGAAAGCAGGGGACCUUCGGGCCUUGCGCUAUCAGAUGAGCCUAGGUCGGAUUAGCUAGUUGGUGAGGUAAUGGCUCACCAAGGCGACGAUCCGUAACUGGUCUGAGAGGAUGAUCAGUCACACUGGAACUGAGACACGGUCCAGACUCCUACGGGAGGCAGCAGUGGGGAAUAUUGGACAAGUGGGACGAAAGCCUAGACUACCAGCCAUCGGCCGCGUGUGUGAAGAGGUCUUCGGAUUGUAAAGUCUACUUUUACCAGG